CCGCAUAAGCCCACAGGUCGGCAUCGACCAGAGGGAAAAGGAGCAAUCCGCUUUGAGAUGGCCUCGCGUCCGAUUAGCUAGUUGGUGAGGUAAUGGCCCACCAAGGCGACGAUCGGUAGCCGGACUGAGAGGUUGAACGGCCACAUUGGGACUGAGACACGGCCCAGACUCCUACGGGAGGCAGCAGUGGGGAAUAUUGCACAAUGGGGGAAACCCUGAUGCAGCGACGCCGCGUGGAGGAAGAAGGUCUUCGGAUUGUAAACUCCUGUUGUUGAGGAAGAUAAUGACGGUACUCAACAAGGAAGUGACGGCUAACUACGUGCCAGCAGCCGCGGUAAAACGUAGGUCACAAGCGUCGUCCGGAAUUACUGGGUGUAAAGGGAGCGCAGGCGGGAAGACAAGUUGGAAGUGAAAUCUAUGGGCUCAACCCAUAAACUGCUUUCAAAACUGUUUUUCUUGAGUAGUGCAGAGGUAGGCGGAAUUCCCGGUGUAGCGGUGGAAUGCGUAGAUAUCGGGAGGAACACCAGUGGCGAAGGCGGCCUACUGGGCACCAACUGACGCUGAGGCUCGAAAGUGUGGGUAGCAAACAGGAUUAGAUACCCUGGUAGUCCACACCGU
rnacentral:rRNA from 1 species